ACUGGAACAAAAACUGGAUUUGGUGUUACAGUACAGAAGUUAUCUACCUGUAGUGUGGAGACUGUGACUACACCUUUAGGACUUUCUAAAGCUGCGUCUUGAGCAGAAGAGUCAGUGUCAGACAGCGUCAAACAUGUUAUUUCUCAUUGGUCAACACACACAAAUGACAGUAAUCCUUUACACUGUUCCAUGAUCAACAGUGGAUGCCACCAUUUGAAUACAGAGAGCAUGAGUCCAUGAUGAGAGGGACAGUAUGACUACAGGCUAACUAGCACAUGGAAAACAUCGCUUGUGUCCACAGUCUAUAUUACAAAGAGGAAAGAAGGAACUAAAGUACUACAACAUUCCAGGAUUCCAGGAUGGGUUGGAACAUCUCCACAUUUAAUUUUUUUUUCUUUUUUCUUUUCUUGUGAAAGAGG